GGGGAAAACAGCAUCUCUGGAAGCACCUGAACCGAACCAUAAGGAAAUGGUCCGAACCCCUAAAAUACUGAGCAAGAGGACAGAAAGAGAGCGAUGAUGAGGUUAAGACUGCUCCUGCCAUAGAAGAACAGUGUUAGGUCCUAGCAGCCUUUUGAGCGGGAUCCCCUGCUGGACGCGGCGGUGCAUGGUGGUGAUUGUUCAGGAGCAACGAGGGACCUGCAGCACCUCCUCUGGGUACAGCAGAGGCAACUUCACCUGGCAUACUGGGAAUAGUUGGGCGGCUUUGACUUUCCCCCUCCAGCAUAUGUAGGUAAGCACCCCUCUCACCUGUCUUAACUCUGCAUAGAUAUAAACUAUAUGAAUAUAAAAUACCUAGGAUGGAUAACAAAGAAAACAUGUAUUCUUAAUCCUUGUCUCACAUGUAUGAAUACUCACAGUGAAUCAUGC
rnacentral:lncRNA from 1 species